rnacentral:lncRNA from 8 species
AAAAAAUACAAUAAAAAGUAACACAAUAAAAUAACAAAUACGAGGCUAUAUACAGAGAGUACCGGUACUGAGUCAAUGUGCAGGGAUACAUAAGUCAAUAGACUAAAGAUGAGCUUCCACCAUAUUGUUUUCACCUGUCAAGUCUUUCCAAUCAGUGCAGGUGAAGGGGACGAGAGGACAGAUUUUUAAGCAAUUGAGGCAAGCAAACAAAUUGAAAUCGUGCUUGGUCUAACUACUGUUAUGCACCUUAUUAAAGUGGCAAUCUGCUAUUGGUACAUACAUUUUUGGACUUUUGAAUUAAUUAUAUAUACAUCCAUUGAUUCUUAAAGACUAUAAAUUCUGAUUGCACUAUGAGAUUACUUCAACUGUCAACCCCAUCAGAACCCAAAAUAUAAACUUGUUUUAUUCCAUUGUUUUUAAAUGUGUAAUUGUAAACAAACACUGUAUAGCCUCAAACCAUGGCUAAAAUGAUCAUUUUGAUAUCAUGGAUGGUGGAGCAUCCAUAGCUCUGUCUAUAAAUGUGUGGUUACAUUUCUUCAGCCCAUCCCUCAGCUGUUUACCAAAUCAGUGGUCACCACUUUGUUGUUUGAACUAUAGCCUAGAUGGUUGUGUUCACACAGGCAGCCCAAUUCUGAUCUUUUUUUUCACCAAUUUGGUCUUCUGACAAAUCAGAUCAGCUCUGAAAAAGAUCUGAUGUAAAAAGAUCUGUUGUGAUUGGUCAAAAGACCAAUUAGUGGAAGAACAAUCAGAAUGCAGCUGCCUGUGUAAACUGUGUUAUCUCAUGCUGUUUAGUUUCGCUUUCUCUUUGCUAUUAGAACAGAUCACUUCAAGCCACAACUGCAAUACAGUCAACAGAAAAUAAUCCCAUAGCUGCAGGUGGCACAGAAUAUGAAGUACUACACAGUUGAGACUGGCAAUACUUUGGAUUCUCAUAUUCAGUUUAUGAGUCAAGUCAACAAGACCACAAGAUGUUUUACGGAAGUCGAGUUGCCAGUGGAGAGUGAUGUCAUCCUGGCUUUCUGUCCCAUCGUCUCCCGCGCCGGGACUAAUAUUGAAGCAGCACUGCAACAGAUUCCAACUGGUAAAAAUGUAAUUCUGGUAGUGCUGCAUCACAACUUCAACCCAGACUCCACUGUACCUGACAGCAGCAGACUAGUGACCAGAAGUGAUGUAAUACUCAGUGGACUGUCUGUUCCAUGA